GGCAGCGUGGUCUAGUGGGGAGGGCACUGGGUUGGCAGUUAGGACUCCUGGGUUCCAUUCCCAGCUUUGCCU
rnacentral:tRNA from 1 species